UGACAAUGAUGAGAAAUUAUCCCGAAACUGAUCAUCAAUUGAUGAGACAACGUACGGAUCUGAUUCCUGAGUU